GUACGCAGCGCGUGCCGCGGAGCGCGUGCUCUGAGCACAUGGAAAAGGGCUCGAGACGAAGUAUCCAAAGAAUAACUCCAUCCUGAAAUGGAAUAUCAGUAACAAAAUAAUCAAAUCUGGAGCAAAAGGGACCUUCAGAACAGCUGCUAGUCAGCCUGUCGUUCUCUCAAUGGAAGCCUGAAACCGGAGCCACGAGUGAAUGCCAAACUUUUCAGGAAAAGACCUACAUGUUCUGCCCCCUGUGAGCUGACAACUCCUUACCAUCAAAGUCAACGAUGCCGCUUUGCUGUGAAGAGAUGAAGAUCUGCUGUUGCCUGCGGACAGCUGGGUUUUGUGAAAGAGGGUGAGAUUUAAUCUGAACUUUCCCAUGAUCCUGGUUAUGGAUGUGGAAAUCUCAGAACAUCAGUCUUCAUCAUGCCAGGACUGCAAGCUAGGCUAUAUAUGGACAUGUCUGAUUCAUUCAGACAUUCGCAUUAUGAAUGGACAUGGGUGUCACAAUUCACGUUCCUGGGUGACAGUAACGACUCCAACAAACCUCAACAACUCAUUUCAAUAGUAUCGGUUUGACUAAUCCUUAACCAAGAUGUUGCAGCAAGCUAAGGACACUAUUUAGUUACCCUACUAAAUAGAUUUGAAAAUACACAACAUGUGAGGCAUCCAAUAGGAGGGCAGAAAAAAGAUAGCUGACAGGAAGUAGAAAGAAAAGUG